AAUUUAGGCACAAGGUGGCAGUCGGGUAACAAGUAACUCGAUUCCUAUGUUUUUAUAUCACUUCUAGUAGAAGCUGACACUUGACUGACAUGUUCAUGUUUGUACAAAUGUACGAACAGAAGAGCCUUCAAUGAGCUACAUUGUAAGGCAUUGUAAGACAGAUAAAAGACAUUUUAGAUGCUGCUAGUCCAGAUUGGCUCGAUGCUGAUUCAUAUUCUGGACCUGCCUCUUCAUCCGCGGGGAGAUCAAGAGAGAUUUAUGGAGCCCUUCUGAAGGUGAAACAGUUUCAGGAGGAACAGAUCAAAGUUGAUGGCUUAAAAAAAGAAGGAAAGCACUGAGAGGGGAAAGAUACAGAGGAAGAACAAUGGACUGGUCAGAUCAUAAAGUCAGAGGAGUAUUUUAUAUUUCAAGCUGUGGUCGUUCCUUGUUUUCCCUCAUGAGCUUUGAUUAAAUUCUAAACAACUUUGAGUAAGAGUCUGAGGAUGAAAGCUGCAGAUUAAAUAAAUUAUGUUUCCCUCACUCAGUCUCACUACUAAUGUGCAAAGAACUAUUAUGUCUUCAUUUGAGAGAACAUGCUUCAGGGUUGUUCAGAAGAAGCCAUGACGUUUGUUAUAAUGACAUCUGUGCUUUCCUUGCUGUGACAUGUCAAAAAAAUCUGCAAUGGAAAUUG